GAUCCAAUAGCACAAUGGUUAGUGCACAUGCUCACAUUAAUUGCGCUGUAAAGAAUGUGUAUGCAGGAGGUCCCUGUUCGAUUCGGGGUUGGGCCA